rnacentral:hammerhead_ribozyme from 1 species
CCACUGCUGAGGAGUCCCACAAUAGGACGAAACGGCAGUCCAGUGC